UUCGGGACGGGUGGAGAGUACGCGUGAGAAUCUAACUUCAGGACGGGGACAACAGUUGGAAACGACUGCUAAUACCCGAUGUGCCGCAAGGUGAAACCUAAUUGGCCUGAAGAAGAGCUUGCGUCUGAUUAGCUAGUUGGUGGGGUAAGAGCCUACCAAGGCGACGAUCAGUAGCUGGUCUGAGAGGAUGAGCAGCCACACUGGGACUGAGACACGGCCCAGACUCCUACGGGAGGCAGCAGUGGGGAAUUUUCCGCAAUGGGCGAAAGCCUGACGGAGCAACGCCGCGUGAGGGAGGAAGGUCUUUGGAUUGUAAACCUCUUUUCUCAAGGAAGAAGUUCUGACGGUACUUGAGGAAUCAGCCUCGGCUAACUCCGUGCCAGCAGCCGCGGUAAUACGGGGGAGGCAAGCGUUAUCCGGAAUUAUUGGGCGUAAAGCGUCCGCAGGUGGUCAGCCAAGUCUGCCGUCAAAUCAGGUUGCUUAACGACCUAAAGGCGGUGGAAACUGGCAGACUAGAGAGCAGUAGGGGUAGCAGGAAUUCCCAGUGUAGCGGUGAAAUGCGUAGAGAUUGGGAAGAACAUCGGUGGCGAAAGCGUGCUACUGGGCUGUAUCUGACACUCAGGGACGAAAGCUAGACC
rnacentral:rRNA from 1 species